rnacentral:rRNA from 1 species
AUUGAACGCUGGCGGCAUGCCUUACACAUGCAAGUCGAACGGCAGCAUGAUCUAGCUUGCUAGAUUGAUGGCGAGUGGCGAACGGGUGAGUAAUACAUUGGAACGUGCCCUGUAGUGGGGGAUAACUAGUCGAAAGAUUAGCUAAUACCGCAUACGACCUGAGGGUGAAAGUGGGGGACCGCAAGGCCUCAUGCUAUAGGAGCGGCCGAUGUCUGAUUAGCUAGUUGGUGAGGUAAAGGCUCACCAAGGCGACGAUCAGUAGCUGGUCUGAGAGGACGAUAAGCCACACUGGGAUUGAGACACGGCCCAGACUCCUACGGGAGGCAGCAGUGGGGAAUUUUGGACAAGGGGCGAAAGCCUGAUCCAGCAAUGCCGCGUGUGUGAAGAAGGCCUUCGGGUUGUAAAGCACUUUUGUCCGGAAAGAAAUGGCUCUGGUUAAUACCUGGGGUCGAUGACGGUACCGGAAGAAUAAGGACCGGCUAACUACGU